rnacentral:tRNA from 1 species
AAUAAAGUGCCUGAAAAAAAGGAUUAUUCUGAUAGAAUAAAUUAUGUAGAAUUCUACCUUUAUUA